ensembl:lncRNA
CUUUCCUAUUGGUCGAAAAAAGUACCGUGUCGACCAAUCAAAAAAUUAUAUGGCAACAUGGCAUCUAGUUGUUAAGAAACGUGGGGAAGUUUUAGGAGUGACGGCGGUGUUUUGAGAUGUGAGAGAUUUGCGACGUUUAGCGCAAAUCUUGUGUAGUUAGUGUGUAGUGUAGUCAAUAGUUUUGUUGUGUGUGAGAACAAUGAGGCGACUGCUGAAUGUUACAGGUGUUACAGGAGUGAUACAUCUCCUGUUGUCAGGCCUGCAGGUAUCAGGCUGUUGUUCUCACCGCCACGCGACGACGGCUGUCCCAAUUCAAAGUGUACUUCAAAUGCAUACUCCAAAUGCGCCAUCGAUUUCCCCAAAUAUCAAGCGUGGUCCGGUGCACGCUUCGUGGUCCCAUAUAUCCCACAAUCCAUAGCGCGGCGGUGGGUGUGGAUAAUUUUGCCGCAAAAUACGGCAGAAGGGAGCGGCCGAAGAGUGAACUGUCAAAAUGGACGAAGGACGUGCCAGUGGCCCUGGGACCUCAGGUGGUGGGUCGUUUUCACACUUUCUUUUGUACAGCACCGGGUGGGCUGCAGUGAUUUUCGUUUUGUGUGAUUUUCUUUUGGGUCCACGGCUGCUGGCACAGGGCAGCGCCCAUCUUCAGAGAGGAGUUUGGUGUUUGACCAGAGUGCUCUCUCUGCUGCAGCAUAUUAUUAAACCAAAUCAAAAGAACGUCUUGAUGCACGCUCAAUCAUCCAGAUCAAGAAUGCCCAUCAUGAGGAGGAAGAAAGCUGGAUGCCAGAAUCAGGGAAGCCCUGAAGGAUGUUAGUCGGCUAAAAGAGGUACAGAAGGGCAUCAUGAGAUACGGGUCCUGGAUGAUGUGACAGGUGAGACCUGGAGACUUGGAACCGCCCCUGGUGGGCGGAGCUGGUCUGUGCUCCUUUCAUAAGCGCAGGUGUGGGCAAUUAGGUAUUCCUCAGCAAACCUGAAGCUGCAAGUGUGUGGUCCAAGUUGGGUGGGAAACAUUGCUCCCGUGAGAACGGUAUAGUGGACUUCAUCGCCACUGACCCACAUUUAUUAGGGUGUGACACGAACUUGUGGACAGAGUACCGAGCUGCUGCUUUGCCAAGUGGAUUUCUGGCUGCGGGCAAAGGACCCGACACAUCAGUGUGUUUUAAACUGGUGUAAUUCGACCGACUGACUGCUGCGGCUGUCGAUUAUUGUUUUGUUUUAAUUUUUUCUGUAUCAGUAGGCACCACAGAUAUUGAUUCUUUUAGUAUUUUAACCCCUUUUUUUUAUAGAUAUAUAUUGUCGCGAACGGUGAAGGCGCUGCAGGGAAAACGAAUCCUUUUUUUGUCUCGCCGCUUUUGCAUGCACAGCGGUGGCCUGAGUGAGGACGGCACUGAAGAGUUGCCUUUUCUAUAGUGUUUUGCCCAUUUGGGGGUUAUGUGUGAAUUGCCGUCCCUUUUUAACCUGUGUGCUAUGUUGAUUUGUUCUUAAACGGUUCCCCGCAGCGCUUAUCCUGUCUCACGGGCAAUCAUACAGUUUUAUCGUUUUUAAACAAGGUAAAAUUUUUAAUUGUUUUUAAGUGCCGCUGUUACAUUGUUUUAUUUUGUGUUAAAAAUUAAAUUCUUUUUAACUGACUGUGCGCCUACGGCUCUGUCCUAUUUUAAAUAGGUACCUACCACGGGUCACAGAUGUAACAAAACAGAAUCAAAAAAAGUCAGCAGCAGAGGUCAAACGAUUGAAUGACUUGGUCUCCAAAGUCUCAUUCAGAUGUAUUUUUAGCUUCAAGCAAGAGUAGAACAUCUGGGUGCGGGGCCCCGUGUUCCAGAUUAACUGGCGUUGGUGAAACAGAUGUGUGGUAGACUUGCUUUUCAGGAGCUGCUACCGACAAAACGGCAAAUAAACACCAAAUAUUUCAUCUUUAAUAUUUGUGAGGUUACCUCAAACACACUCCACCAGUCUUGUUGCUCUUGUUUACCUGGCGAUAUUCUCAUGCAGGAGGCGAUCGCGAAAACAGCAAACAAUUAAUACCAUGCCGAUGCUGUUCACAGGACAGCAAGAGUAAACGAUCAGGAGAAUCUUGUCGUCGUUACCGUUCCCCUCGUACGUGUUAUUACUCAGAUUUCAGUGUUUUCGCUUCGCAACUAAAGCGUGCAGUUUACUUUGUGUGCACUCAAAUGGAGUCGAGUCAACUAGCUCCACCUGUGGCCAAGUGCCAUAGCCUACAGCCAGAUUAACUUGUGACACACAUCUGCACCUGGCUCUAUCGCCACAUUUGAAUUCGUUUCAUGCACAAUACAUUUGGAACUUUCUAUUUUUUUUUAUUUUUUUUUUCUGUUUUUGUGUCUUGCAAAUAAACCUUUAAAAUAAAUGAAAUGGUAUUAUGUAUUCAUUUUUGGCCUACAUCAGUAAGA